UAGUACAUAAUAAUAUAAUCUCAAUAAUAAUAAUUAUUAUUAUUCAUCCAUACAUCUUGAAUCUUGAAUUAUAUCUGAAAUCUGAAAAAAAAGUAUGUUUUUAUUAAAACCACUUGUGAGAUAUGAAUAUGCAAUUGUAUAAUAUGCAAUAUUGCGGUUACCUGUCUUAUCAGAAUUGAUAAGUGAUAAAAGUACGGGAGCUAUCAGCUUCACAGACAUCAUUCCGUGAACGUCGCAUUUUCGCAAGUCUUUUGGUUUUUCAUGUUUUUAUAAUGUAUAUUUUAAAGGUAAUUUUAAGGUUUUGUAAGGCCUUCAGUGCCAUUGAUUGUCUGUAUUGUUAACCGUUCGUAUGUAGAAGGCGAUACUAAUAAUGCCUUCGUUCUUCGUUUGAUUUUCAUCUGCCGUUCCUGUUUGAUUCUCAGCUUGCAGCGUGUUUGCAGCUGCGGCCGAAGCCAACGGUGCCACACAAGUGCAUUUUCCAUUUGUAUUGUACAAAUUGAAUUUGUGUUCUAUUGAUUUGUUGGGAGUUUGCUGUUCUUACGUUUUCUAGCGAUGAGCAUUGAGCAUUAGUAUUGUGUAUUUUGUUCGUCUUCUGAAUGUGGCUAAGUGGUCACUUAGAUUAAAUCUACCACUCAACACAGUCCCUUCUUUAUUAAAAUUAUAGUACUACAAUUUAAGCCUGGCCAAAUAAUCGUUUGGCAAAAAAAUUGAGAAUCUAUCUUGCAAAUCCGAAUAAAUUUGAUUUCAUAUUUUAUGAACAUUGAGUCCUAUCUCAAAACAUUUGUAAUAUUACUAAAACUACUGAGUGUAUUUUUAAAAAAAGAACAUUUUUCAAAAAGCAUAUUUUCUAAAACCCAAGACGAUGUAUGAAUAUUAUUCACGGAAUAAGAAUAUUUCAACGAUAAAUGUGGAGAAUUCAGAAAUAUUAUACGCUGACUCUGUAAAGUUAUCAGUUGAUGAUUCAGACACGGACGAAAAUUACGACAUAUUACUAUUAUUAUCUGACGGCGUAUGGCGUUAUUCUUCGACGGGAAAGACUUUGAUGUCGCACAGCCUUGAUGUCACAUCUCUCACAGUUACAACCCAUCGACUGGCUAUGUACUGUUCUGGCCACGCACAGAACUGUAGUACUAUACAAGCUACACACUUCCGGUACAGUGGUACAACUCGAAUAGAUAACCGUAGUCCUGGACAUGUUAGUGUUUAUUUAAGGUCAAUAUUUAGGGAAACUGGCCGCGUGUGAGUGCAGUUGCCGGUUGUACACAUGUGCAGCAGUGGCGUCGUGUUUCGUAAAAAAUUGGCAUUGCUCAAAUAAAUAAUACUCAAUUUAUUGAAAACGCUGUUGCCAAUGGACAUAUAAAGAGUUUGGCGUUUGCUGAAAGUCGGGGGUACCCAUGGACACAAAACAUUUAUGUACCUGCAGGAAAAUGGGUGCCCAUGGGACAUAUCCACAUGUGAGGCGACCGCGGCAUGGGGGAACAUCGAUGUACUUCGGUAUGCUCACGAGCGCGGUUGUCCCUGGAAUUCAGCCACGUGUCGGGAAGCCGUGGCCCACAGCCACCUAACGUGUCCGUAGUACGCACUUGAAAAUGGUUGCCUAUUGGACAGUAUGACAUGUGAAGAUGCUGCAGCCAGUGGCUAUCUCAGCUGUCUAGUGUAUGAACUCAACAACAGCAGCCUUUAGGUUAUGUUGGAGAUUGUCACAGAGGCUCACUGUACACGCUUUGGUGUCGUAUACAACUCACAAAUACAUUGAACUUUAAAGAUUUUUAGGGCCCAACAAUAUCGCAAGGUAGGAGUUUGAUAAACGCUGCGGAUCAUGUUGUACGAACAACGGCUUUAGUUUGUGCUGCCGUGCAUACUAAUGUGGCACCAAUAAUUAACCAAUAUAAUAUGACAACUAUGUUUUCGUCUUCGACGUCAAGCCCUGUUCCUCAAACUGUUCAGGAAAAUUCUUUUUGUCGUUAUCAUGGAUAUGAAUUGAUAAGAAUAUUGGAUCGUCCUUUUGCUCAUGAUGGAUCUAGUCAUCCUGCAUUCAAGUUGCAAAAGGCAAGACUUCAAGGGAGAGUAAUACAAUGCGUAAUACAAUGCAUAAACGCCAAAGCUUACAUUUAUUCGGAAUUGAUGGUGACAUUAAAUGA